GGGUUCUAGAGCACAGCAUGGAGGACAAGUGGGCCUGAGAUCUCCUGGGAUGGUAGGAGGACCUCCAGGGUGGAGUCUGGUCCAGCUCAUGCCAGGCUUCUUUGUGCAACCCUGAAAAAAAGCUCUGUCAGUCGUGCCGAGGUUUCUCCUUGGGAGAAACCAGUUGGUUUGCUCCGGAGCAGAGACAGGAGGGAGCUCAUAUGCAUGCCACGGAGACAGCCGGUGAGCAGAGCCCGGGGGGAACAGAGGCAGCCAAAUUGGCUGUGCAGGCAAAAGGUGCUCUCAUAACCCCACCGUGGUCUCACCCAGGGAGAUGUUAAACACAGAACAAGCGAUGCAAUUUUUCCUGACCAACACCUGCAGGAUUGGCAGCGUGUCCCUCGCUGUCACAGCCAUCAGUCUGGAGGUGACUCUGGCAUGUGCUUCCUCAGCCACCAUGAACUCCUUGAGCUUCGUCAGAUGAGGACAUGCCUUGGCUCUGCAAUUUUUAAAGAGUGGAGCAAGCGCCACUCAGCACAGGGUAAGCUUACACUGCCUGACCUCAUUUCAUCCGGCCUCUUCCCUGCAACACAAGAGCUCCCAAUGGCACAUCAGGUAUUAAGGGAACCAGGGUGGUUCACCUGAACUGCACUGAAAGAGUUUGGAAUAAGAAAUCAACCCAGAUUUAAGGCAGCCUUCAGUGUUUGUGUACAGAUUGAACUGAUUUAUUGUGCGUGCUAUGUGCCGAGUUGCAAAACCUUGCUAUAUUAGUGAUUUAAAAAGAGGAACAAUUUGAUUUGUCAUUACUAAUAGGGAUGUAACUAAAUUAGUCUCCCACAUACUUUAUGCUGAUGAGGUCUUGCUUAGAUUUCCCUUUGUAGAUUUACAUCCUCACCAGCUUUAAUCACAGCUAAGAAACAUAUCGCAUAAAUAAUACUAUUCUGAAAUACUGAAGUAUUUGCAGAGGGGUUUAGAUAUCCAAGAAAAUCAUAGAAGUCAA